rnacentral:rRNA from 1 species
CCUACGGGAGGCUGCAGUGAGGAAUAUUGGUCAAUGGGCGGAAGCCUGAACCAGCCAAGUAGCGUGCGGGAUGAAGGCCCUACGGGUUGUAAACCGCUUUUGCACGGGGAUAACACCCUCCACUUGUGGAGGUCUGCAGGUACCGUGCGAAUAAGGGCCGGCUAAUUCCGUGCCAGCAGCCGAGGUAAUACGGAAAGCCCGAGCGUUAUCCGGAUUCAUUGGGCUUAAAGGGAGCGUAGGCGGGCGUUCACGUCAGCUGUAAAAUCGCGCGGCUCAACCGCGCCCCGCAGUUGAAACUGGACGCCUUGAGUACACAACAGGCAGGCGGAAUUCGUGGUGUAGCGGUGAAAUGCAUAGAUAUCACGAGGAACCCCGAUUGCGAAGGCAGCCUGCCGGGGUGCGACUGACGCUGAGGCUCGAAGGUGCGGGUAUCAAACAGGAUUAGAUACCCCAGUAGUC